AACGAACGCUGGCGGCAGGCCUAACACAUGCAAGUCGAACGCUCCGCAAGGAGAGUGGCAGACGGGUGAGUAACACGUGGGAAUCUUCCUGUUGGUUCGGAAUAGCUCAGGGAAACUUGGGGUAAUACCGGAUAAGCCCGAGAGGGGAAAGAUUUAUCGCCGACAGAUGAGCCCGCGUCUGAUUAGCUAGUUGGUGAGGUAAUGGCUCACCAAGGCGACGAUCAGUAGCUGGUCUGAGAGGAUGACCAGCCACACUGGGACUGAGACACGGCCCAGACUCCUACGGGAGGCAGCAGUGGGGAAUAUUGGACAAUGGGCGCAAGCCUGAUCCAGCCAUGCCGCGUGAGUGACGAAGGUCUUCGGAUUGUAAAGCUCUUUUGCCAGGGACGAUAAUGACGGUACCUGGAGAAUAAGCCCCGGCUAACUUCGUGCCAGCCGCCGCGGU
rnacentral:rRNA from 1 species